rnacentral:sRNA from 1 species
AGUCGACGCGGUUCUCCUCCCAUUUAUCCGCGUUGGCUGUUCCCCUCUGGAGGUUUUUAACCUUCACAAUUGGGCCGGGCUUUUUAGUCCGGCUUUU